GAUGAACGCUGGCGGCGUGCCUAAUACAUGCAAGUCGAGCGAACAGAUGAGGAGCUUGCUCCUCUGACGUUAGCGGCGGACGGGUGAGUAACACGUGGAUAACCUACCUAUAAGUCUGGGAUAACUUCGGGAAACCGGAGCUAAUACCGGAUAAUAUAUUGAACCGCAUGGUUCAAUAGUGAAAGACGGUUUUGCUGUCACUUAUAGAUGGAUCCGCGCCGCAUUAGCUAGUCGGUAAGGUAACGGCUUACCAAGGCAACGAUGCGUAGCCGACCUGAGAGGGUGAUCGGCCACACUGGAACUGAGACACGGUCCAGACUCCUACGGGAGGCAGCAGUAGGGAAUCUUCCGCAAUGGGCGAAAGCCUGACGGAGCAACGCCGCGUGAGUGAUGAAGGUCUUCGGAUCGUAAAACUCUGUUAUUAGGGAAGAACAAAUGUGUAAGUAACUAUGCACGUCUUGACGGUACCUAAUCAGAAAGCCACGGCUAACUACGUG
rnacentral:rRNA from 1 species